rnacentral:rRNA from 1 species
AACGAACGCUGGCGGUAUGCUUAACACAUGCAAGUCGAACGGGCAUAGCAAUAUGUCAGUGGCAAACGGGUGAGUAAUGUAAAGGAAUCUACCUAGCAGUAAGGGAUAACUUUGGGAAACCAAAGCUAAUACCAUAUAUUACCCUUCGGGGAAAGAUUUAUCGCUGUUAGAUGAGCCUUUAUCGGAUUAGCUAGUUGGUAGGGUAAUGGCCUACCAAGGCAAUGAUCCGUAGCUGGUCUGAGAGGAUGAUCAGCCACACUGGAACUGAGACACGGUCCAGACUCCUACGGGAGGCAGCAGUGGGGAAUCUUGGACAAUGGGCGCAAGCCUGAUCCAGCCAUGCCGCGUGAGUGACGAAGGUCUUCGGAUUGUAAAGCUCUUUUGCCAGGGACGAUAAUGACGG